UACAGAGGGGGCAAGCGUUAUUCGGAAUUAUUGGGCGUAAAGGGCGCGUAGGCGGCUUGGCAAGUGGAAGGUGAAAUCCCUCGGCUCAACCGAGGAACUGCCUUCUAAACUGCUUUGAUUGAGUCCGGGAGAGGUCAGUGGAAUUCCCAGUGUAGCGGUGAAAUGCGUAGAUAUUGGGAGGAACACCAGUGGCGAAGGCGGCUGACUGGACCGGUACUGACGCUGAGGCGCGAAAGCGUGGGGAGCAAACAGG
rnacentral:rRNA from 1 species